UUCAAAAUAGAGGAAAAAAAUGAAAAGAAAAAAUAGCAGAGGAAGAAAGAAGGAAAAGAGAAAAGAAGGAGGAAGAAGUGGGUGCAGUAUAUUGGAGCCAUAAUUAUAACUGUUGAGGAAUCUUAAGCACAAAUUGUCUCUUACGGAGACAACAGCUGAUGCAGGCGAGGAUCUCGUUAAUUAGAGCGCACAGAUUUAGAAUUCUUGGUGAACCUCGCACUUGUUCGCGUGGGUAGAGAUUUUAUUUAUUGUUAUGGUCUUUCCAUUGAACUCUUAGAGUUGCUCCAUAGACAGUAUUUUAGUGUCAUGAGUAUUCUUUUGUUAUUAUAGUCUUAUGUUGAGUAUUGUUCUCAUUUAUCGAAGUUGGAGAUAAAUUAGUAUUUCUAGUGGUUACUUGGUGAUUUAGUUAUGGUGGAGACUUGUAUUGGUUAAUUGACAAAUUGUCAAUUGUUUGGUAUGAUAUUAGGAUGUUUGGUUGUUGAUUUAA